GACGAACGCUGGCGGCGUGCCUAAUACAUGCAAGUUGAGCGCUGAAGGUUGGUACUUGUACCAACUGGAUGAGCAGCGAACGGGUGAGUAACGCGUGGGGAAUCUGCCUUUGAGCGGGGGACAACAUUUGAAAACGAAUGCUAAUACCGCAUAAAAACUUUAAACACAAGUUUUAAGUUUGAAAGAUGCAAUUGCAUCACUCAAAGAUGAUCCCGCGUUGUAUUAGCUAGUUGGUGAGGUAAAGGCUCACCAAGGCGAUGAUACAUAGCCGACCUGAGAGGGUGAUCGGCCACAUUGGGACUGAGACACGGCCCAAACUCCUACGGGAGGCAGCAGUAGGGAAUCUUCGGCAAUGGACGAAAGUCUGACCGAGCAACGCCGCGUGAGUGAAGAAGGUUUUCGGAUCGUAAAACUCUGUUGGUAGAGAAGAACGUUGGUGAGAGUGGAAAGCUCAUCAAGUGACGGUAACUACCCAGAAAGGGACGGCUAACUACGUG
rnacentral:rRNA from 1 species